AUUGAACGCUGGCGGCAGGCUUAACACAUGCAAGUCGAGCGAGCGGCGGACGGGUUAGUAAUGUCUGUGAAACUGCCUGCUGGAGGGGGAUAACUACUGGAAACGGUUGCUAAUACCGCAUACCAUCAGAUGUGCCCAGAUGGGUUUAGCUAGUAGGUGGGGUAAAGGCUCACCUGGGCGACGAUCCCUAGCUGGUCUGAGAGGAUGACCAGUCACACUGGAACUGAGACACGGUCCAGACUCCUACGGGAGGCAGCAGUGGGGAAUAUUGCACAAUGGGCGAAAGCCUGAUGCAGCCAUGCCGCGUGUAUGAAGAAGGCCUUCGGGUUGUAAAGUACUGUAAGCGGGGAGGCGUUACCCGCAGAAGAAGCACCGGCUAACUCCGUGCCAGCAGCCGCGGUAAUAC
rnacentral:rRNA from 1 species